rnacentral:lncRNA from 1 species
ACACAGGGAUGACUUGCCGUUACAAUACUCCCCCAUGUCUGAAGACUCGGAUGAAGCCAGGUUCUGCGAGGAGCCAAUAACAAGCACUAGCUCAUCCCAACCCGACAGCCGCCCUACUAGUCCUGUUUCACCUUACCGAUACCAAAGACCUCUUACUUCAACAACCUCACACCAUUCCUCAAAUUCACAUACACUCCCUGCCUCCAUGAGCACUACUAGUACUACUCCACAGUCUCGCCAAAGAGGAUCUGAUACGGAAGGAAGGUUUCCGUCAUCUCCUAGCGAUAUCUGCCAUUCGAGUGAUUUGAGAAGAACGGCUCUACUAAGGUCUGUUCAAAUGAGAACACAGCCUUGUGGUCAUGCUUCAACUUCUGGGACAAGCAAUGUUGACGGUGGUGAAGAGAGGAUGUGCUUUAAGUCUAUGGAAGAAGAUAAUAGAGGGGAAGAUCUCUCUUAUACUCAAGUCUCUGGUAAGAGCAAGUCUUGUAAAGCGUUGGACAUGAGACUAUGUGAACGAUGAUUUAAAGACUCUAUUCUCUAUCUUAAAAGACGGUUUUUUUCUUCGACAUUUCCACAUUAUAUAUGUUGUGGAUUGCAAUGAAGAACACUCCACUAAAGUUUCUAAUCUGGCUCAUUGCAUAGUUAGGCUUUGGUCGUUUGGUGGAUGUGGUUGAGAUGAGAAGCCGUCAUCACACUCUUAAAACAGAAAUCCAAAAGAGACAAGAAGACAAGCUUACAGAUCCAUUCAUGAUCUUGUUUAUAUAACCAUUUAUAAAUCAUUUUUGUAAUCAGAAUUUUAAAGACACCACCCUUUCUAUACCUAAGCCAAAUGUUACAAAAAAAAAAAAGUAUAAAAUUUGAAGAAUAUUAAAUCUACAAAAAAAAACUUUCUCUAGUUUGAAAUGAUGAAACUUUUAAAAUAAAAAUGUUUUUAAAAAUGCAUGUUUUAAUUUUUCUAAUGCAAUUUUUAUUAGAUAAUAAUAAUGAAUUAUAACUUUCAAAAAUAAUUGUACUUUUAAAAUAUUAUUAGUUAAGAAUUAUUGGCAUCGACAAAAAAGUUAAGAAUUAAAGGAAAUAGCUAAUUCCAGAAAAGAGUAUAUUUAUAAUCAGAUUUAAUAUUUCUUCUUAGUAUAUGUGAAACAGAAUAACAUUGAAAUUUUAGGACCAUAGAGUAUUAUUUAGCUUUAAUGAGGGGUUUUAGAAAAUAUUUUUUCUCAAAAGGAAGAGUAUUUUUCAAAUUUGAAAACAAAUUGACUCCAAAUGGUGACCAUAUAUUAGGGAACAACGAUAAGAAUAGAUUUAAUAUUCUUCAAAUUUUAUACUAAUUAUGUGAUUUUGUAGUCAAAUUAUUAACUAUGUGUCUCACUCCAUUCCUCUAUUUUCCUUAUGUAUAUAUGAAAAAUGUGUGAAGAAAUGAUUUUCGUACCAGUUUUGAUGAGGAAUGAAUUGACCAAAUGUUCAUACUUUUUAUUAACUAAAAACAAGAAAUUCAAAUUCUAGUUAUUUUUAACUGUGAUAUUUUUUUAAAAAAAAUAUUAUUUAAAAUUAUUGUAGCAAUCAACCAGGACCAAACUUAUAUAACAGGACCAAACUUGUAUAAAUAUGUAUAUGAAGGAAGUUGCAUUUUGUCUCAAAACCAAAAAUAUUAUUUGAUCACCAUGUCUCUUGCAAUUAGACUGAUGGGCAUGACACUCUCUAUUCAAAUCAUUACAUCUUUUCUCUUUGCCGCCGCUGUCUCAUCAUCACCUCCCAGUGGCUUCACCAUCGACUUAUUCAAGCGUCGCCUCAAUUCAUCUUCUUCUCGAAUCUAUAAUACUCAGCUCGGAUCUCCUUACGCGGAUACUCUCUUUGAUACCUCCGUGUAUCUUAUGAAAUUACAAAUAGGUACUCCUCCUGUUGAGAUCGAAGCUAUCUUAGACACAGGAAGCGAGGUCGUCUGGUCAGAUUGUUUGCCUUGUCAUAACUGCUUUAAACAAAGCGGUCCAGCAUUCAACCCUUUAGAUUCCUCGACCUACGAAGCGAAAAUAUGCGAUGGCAGUCCUUGUCAGUAUGAGAUAGACUACACAGACCAAAGCUAUACAAGAGGAACCUAUGCAACCGAGACUGUCACGAUCCAAUCAACUUCAGGCCAUUCCUAUGUAAUGCCUAAAACCACUAUUGGAUGUUCCCACAACGCCUCAGUCACGUUUCAAACAAGCGCUUCGGGCAUUGUUGGUCUAAACUGGGGACCUUGGUCACUCGUCUCUCAGAUGGGGGAUGACAUGCUAGGUCUCAUGUCUUACUGCUUUUCCGGUGAGGGAACUAGUAAGCUCAACUUUGGAGGUAAUGCUAUUGUGUCAGGAGAUGGGACUGUAUCAGCCAAUAUGUUUAAGAAGGAGGAGGAUCCCAAUCAGUAUUACCUAAACCUAGAUGCGAUCAGCGUUGGGAAGACUCGCAUUGAGACACUGGGGACACCGUUUCACGCCUCAAACGGGAACAUGAUCAUUGACUCUGGAACAACUUACACUUUCUUGCGCAAGACCUACUACAACAAAGUGAGGAAGGCAGUGGAAAACAUUGUGAAGGCGGAUCAAGAAGAUUCCGGGGACAACUGGCUUUGCUACAAAACGAACAACAUGGAUAUCUUUCCAGUGAUCACAAUGCAUUUCCAAGGUGGUGUGGAUCUUGUUUUGGAUAAAUACAAUACGUAUAUGAUCAGUGGAGAAACCAUUUGUCUGAUGAUUUUAUGUGAUAGCCGGACACCAGUUUUUGGUAACAGAGCACAAAACAAUUUUUGGGUUGGUUAUGAUCCGUCUUCACUAUUGGUUUCUUUUAAACCCACCAAGUGUUCUGCAUUGUGGAGUUAGACAAGACAAACAAGAGAGUCAUUUUUCAAUAAUAAAGACCACAUAGGAUGGAUUUGUUUAUGUGAAUGAGUUGUUGAGUCGCAAUCAUAAUAAAUCAUUAAUAACCUUUUAGACACACACACAGCUCCAUGCGUUACCUCCAAGAACUCAUGCAUCACUUUUCUCUCUCUUCAUCCAUUGAUAAUGUAGGAAGAUGCACAACCUGUUGUAAAAUCUUGUUCGAAUUGAGGUUGGAUUAACUACGAUUGAUUCACGUUUACAAAUUUCUCCAACGCGUAAAGUCUAUUUUCUCCAACUGCUUGUUUUUCCUUCAGUCUUAUCUUCUUCUUCUUCUUUAUUUUAAAUUCACACACAAGACCUACUAGACCCACAUUUACAGGGGCACAUGCAGUGAAACAUCGGUCUUGACCCCCAAAUUUUUUGAUGGUAUAGUGUAUUAUUAAAACAUUCAAAACAAAAAAAAAAAGUUAUUUGUAUCCAAGUCUAAGAUUUCUGCUCCGUCCAAAUGUCUAAACCGAAUUUUUACAAAAUUGUGUGAAAUUGAUUAUGCGAAGCUCAUUAUCACGACAGUAAUUUAUACCUUUUCAUCAAGUGUUUGGAAUUGGUGUAAUUAUAAAUAUUGAAUAGUUGAAUGAUCUUUAAGUGUGUGUGUUUGUAAAAUGCCAAAGAAGCAAGUCUCAACAAGCCCUGGUUUUAAGUUUUAUGAUUGUUCAUUCAUGUGUGUUUGAUAACGCAGGGAUGACUUGUCACUACAGUACUCUCCUACGAGGACCCAAUAACAAGCACUAGCUCAUCCCAACCCGACAGCCGCCCUACUAGUCCUGUUUCACCUUACCGAUACCAAAGACCUCUUACUUCAACAGCCUCACACCAUUUGUCAAAUUCACAUUCAUGCCCUGCCUCCAUGAGUACUAGUGCAACUCCACAGUCUCGCCAAAGAGGAUCUGACACGGAAGGAAGGUUUCCCUCAUCGCCUAG